GCAAGCACAAGAAAGAGAACAGAAGAACAUGGCCAAGGUUACACAAGAAAGGAAGCCAUUUGGCUGAUCUACCCCAUUUAAUUCCUUCUGGAGAAGGCGAUGACCCCACCGAAGCCAAGCCCCAGGGCGAAGAAGACCUGGGUGGCUGCUUCUCGCCACACCUGGGGCUCCAGCAUCUUUUCAAGCUGAGAGAGGAGGGACAUGGUUAAAAAAAGGAUGGGAGAGAUAGUGGUGAAGGAAACACAAUCCCAAAAUUGAAUAAUGGUUUCAUGCAGCUCUAAUGACGAAUGAGGAUUAUGAAUGAAUGAUCUAAACAAAAACCACUAGGCAGGAUAUGAUGACACUCAAGGCCUGGCUCUUCCUACAGACGAUCUCAGUUCAAAUCCUUGAAAACCACUGUCUUCUACCUCUCCUUUCACCUGGAUGACAGUUUGCUUAGAAAUGAGCGUCAGUGGCUCGGUAGACGUGCUUCCACAGAGAGGAAUGGAAAGUGGCUGAAAGCUGUGAAGAGGCUCCACUAGAGGGAGACAGCAUCCAUCGUUUCUGCUGGGACUGUGCAGAAGCCUCCAGAGCUCAAUGACGGAUUGUGCAGUAGAUCCUGCAUUUUUGGCACAGAUUGCAAAUCCGCAGAAGCAAAGAAAAAUGUAAACACGUGACUCUUGAGUUCUGACUGUAAGGGGAUUAUAAAUAUUUAAAUACUGGGGAAUAUGGUGACAUUGAUGUUAGUACUGUUCUCUUCACAUUUUUGGGGUCCUGGGUUCGACUUCAGACUGGAGCUCCUACUGUGCAGAGUUUGCAUAUUCUCAUCAUGUUCAUGUGGGCUUUCUCCGGAUGCUACGGUUUGCUCUCACCUCAAAGACACGCUGACUAGGUUCAUUUGUUUUACUGAUUUUUCCCUCAGUGUACGUAUGUCUGAACCCUGCAAUAGAAUAGCGUUCCAUCCAAAAUCUAGCCCUGCCUUGCACCCUAUGUAUCCAGGAUAGCCUCUGGAUUUCCUUGACCCUUAACAGGACUGCCCAUUUGUCUGAUAGUGGAUGUAGAUAUCAGUUUAUGUAGCAGUAGAUUAUUUUCUGUACCUGAUCCUAUGCUUACAAAAGAGAUGCAGCAAGGUAACUACAGCAAGAUACUAACUGGAUCACUUAGGUAGAGGUCAGACAUUUGUGUAUUAGUACACUAUGUGAUAAUGUGAUAACGACAUGGC